rnacentral:rRNA from 1 species
GGGGAAUUGUUCGCAAUGGGCGCAAGCCUGACGACGCAACGCCGCGUGGAGGAUGAAGAUCUUCGGGUCGUAAACUCCUGUCGAGCGGGACGAAUGCUCUGCGGUUGAAUACACCGCAGGGGUGACGGUACCGCUAAAGGAAGCCCCGGCUAACUCCGUGCCAGCAGCCGCGGUAAAACGUAGGAGACAAACGUUAUCCGGAGUUACUGGGCGUAAAGGGCGUGUAGGCGGUUGGUUAAGUCUGGCGUGAAAGCUCUCGGCUAAACCGGGAGAGGUCGUUGGAUACUGGCGAACUGGAGGAUGGUAGAGGCGUGUGGAAUUCCGGGUGUAGUGGUGAAAUGCGUAGAGAUCCGGAGGAACACCAGUGGCGAAGGCGACACGCUGGGCCAUACCUGACGCUAAAGCGCGACAGCAUGGGGAGCAAA